rnacentral:rRNA from 1 species
AUUGAACGCUGGCGGAAUGCUUUACACAUGCAAGUCGAGCGGCAGCACGGGGGCAACCCUGGCGGCGAGCGGCGAACGGGUGAGUAACACAUCGGAACAUGCCCAGUCGUGGGGGAUAACACUUCGAAAGAAGUGCUAAUACCGCAUACGUCCUGAGGGAGAAAGCGGGGGAUCGUCGGACCUCGCGCGAUUGGAGUGGCCGAUGUCAGAUUAGCUAGUUGGUGGGGUAAAGGCCUACCAAGGCAACGAUCUGUAGCUGGUCUGAGAGGAUGAUCAGCCACACUGGGACUGAGACACGGCCCAGACUCCUACGGGAGGCAGCAGUGGGGAAUUUUGGACAAUGGGGGCAACCCUGAUCCAGCCAUUCCGCGUGAGUGAAGAAGGCCUUCGGGUUGUAAAGCUCUUUCGGCAGGAACGAAACGGCGAGCUCUAACAUAGCUUGCUAAUGACGGUACCUGAAGAAGAAGCACCGGCUAACUACGUGCCAGCCGCCGCUGUAACAC